UUACCCACCUCGGAAGGAAGGCUGAGUCAACCGUCAGCUGGUCAGGAUCGAACUGCUGGCAGUAGCAGAAUUAGCCUGCAAUACUGCAUUUUAACCAUUGUGCUACUACGGCUAAGGGACAAAUCAUUCUUUCUAGCCAUUAUUAACCAAAGAAGUUGAAGAGAGAAGGUAUUCUGGAACUAAGAAAGCCAGCAGGCCACUUUAAGGACAGAAAUGAACAAUGUCACCUUCAUCCUUUCUCUGUUGCCAAAGAUUGAAGCUGCUGUGGUAAGACAGUAGGCUCUCUUUCAUUUAACGAACAAUUACUGUAUGUCUUAUGUUGACAAGGGGAAAUCUGAAAUCCUACAUAGACUUGACUAGGAACAGGUCUGGGUGAAAUAAGUAGGACGGCAUUGCAAUACAUCAUAAAUAGCAUUGUAAAGCUGCUGAUGCUUGGAGAGAGUAAUGGGGAGGUAUUCCUAAUGUUUUGGACUGUGGCACUUCUUUUUGUGAUCUGGUUUUAAAAGUGGCUGAUGGCUAAACCUUGAUUAGGAUAUUUAUUUUCAUGUCAGCAUACUAGUGCCAAAUGCUAAUGCAUUUUACAUCCAUCUAUGACAGGGAAUUUCAAGCUGCCAAGUUUUCACUAAAACUGCUGAUGCGGAGAAAAUUGGCAACGUAGAGAGAUGCAGCAAAAAUGCCCCCCUCCUUCUUUAAGGCCUUUCCAAUGAGGUUGACCAAUAGCAGGUAUUCUGCCUUUCCACGCAAGCGGGUAGCUGCUUGUCCUGGACAAAGUGCACAGUCAGCAGGAAUGUGAUCAACAGGAAAACACUUUGGGGCAACAAAGCUAAGAAAAUAUUCUACCUAAAUAUGGGUGGUAAGGAAUAACGAAGUUCCAUCAUCUGAGAUGACACUUGGAUGUACAAAACCAACAGGAAAACUAUCGCAAUGCUUCCCAUAGGAAAUAAAAAUACUCACCCAAGUCCCCGUUCUUCUUCCUGGUUGUGGCGAGACGCUUUUUUACUUUCUAUUUGUGCCU